AACGAACGCUGGCGGCAUGCCUAACACAUGCAAGUCGAACGAGACCUUCGGGUCUAGUGGCGCACGGGUGCGUAACGCGUGGGAACCUGCCCUUAGGUUCGGAAUAACUCCCCGAAAGAGGUGCUAAUACCGGAUAAUGUCUUCGGACCAAAGAUUUAUCGCCUUUGGAUGGGCCCGCGUUGGAUUAGCUAGUUGGUAGGGUAAAAGCCUACCAAGGCGACGAUCCAUAGCUGGUCUGAGAGGAUGAUCAGCCACACUGGGACUGAGACACGGCCCAGACUCCUGCGGGACGCAGCAGUGGGGAAUACUGGACUAUGGGCGAGAGCCUGAUCCAGCUAUGCCGCGUGAGUGGUGAAGGCCUUAGGGUUGUAAAGCUCUUUUACCCGGGAUGAUAAUGACAGUACCGGGAGAAUAAGCACCGGCUAACUCCGUG
rnacentral:rRNA from 1 species